UACGGAGGGUGCAAGCGUUAUCCGGAUUCACUGGGUUUAAAGGGUGCGUAGGAGGGCAGGUAAGUCAGUGGUGAAAUCUUCGAGCUUAACUCGGAAACUGCCGUUGAUACUAUCUGUCUUGAAUACCGUGGAGGUGAGCGGAAUAUGUCAUGUAGCGGUGAAAUGCUUAGAUAUGACAUAGAACACCAAUUGCGAAGGCAGCUCGCUACACGAAUAUUGACACUGAGGCACGAAAGCGUGGGGAUCAAACAGG
rnacentral:rRNA from 1 species